rnacentral:pre_miRNA from 7 species
UUUUGGGUCUGAGUCACCUCACUCAGGGUGAUAUUGAAAGACCCCCCAAAUAGGGGAGACCCUCACUCAAUUCACGGGAUGGUGCGAUCCCCCAAGAACUCACAAGAGACC